UUGUUGGUAAGGUAAAAGCUUACCAAGGCUUCGAUCAGUAGCUGGUCUGAGAGGACGACCAGCCACACUGGGACUGAGACACGGCCCAGACUCCUACGGGAGGCAGCAGUGGGGAAUUUUGGACAAUGGGGGCAACCCUGAUCCAGCCAUGCCGCGUGAGUGAAGAAGGCCUUCGGGUUGUAAAGCUCUUUCAGCCGGAACGAAACGGUUACGGUUAACACCCGUGACUACUGACGGUACCGGAAGAAGAAGCACCGGCUAACUACGUGCCAGCAGCCGCGGUAAUACGUAGGGUGCGAGCGUUAAUCGGAAUUACUGGGCGUAAAGCGUGCGCAGGUGGUUUUGUAAGUCAGAUGUGAAAGCCCCGGGCUCAACCUGGGAACUGCGCUUGAAACUACAAGACUAGAGUGUGGCAGAGGGGGGUGGAAUUCCGCGUGUAGCAGUGAAAUGCGUAGAGAUGUGGAGGAACACCGAUGGCGAAGGCAGCCCCCUGGGUCAACACUGACGCUCAGGCACGAAAGCAUGGGGAGCAAACAGGAUUAGAUACCCUGGUAGUCCAUGCCCUAAACGAUGUCAACUAGUUGUCGGGCCUUUACGGGCUUGGUAACGUAGCUAACGCGUGAAGUUGACCGCCUGGGGAGUACGAUCGCAAGAUUAAAACUCAAAUGAAUUGACGGGGACCCGCACAAGCGGUGGAUUAUGUGGAUUAAUUCGAUGCAACGCGAAAAACCUUACCUACCCUUGACAUGUAUCGAAGCCCGCAGAAAAGCGGGGGUGCCCGAAAGGGAACGAUAACACAGGUGCUGCAUGGCUGUCGUCAGCUCGUGUCGUGAGAUGUUGGGUUAAGUCCCGCAACGAGCGCAACCCUUGUCAUUAAUUGCCAUCAUUUAGUUGGGCACUUUAAUGAGACUGCCGG
rnacentral:rRNA from 1 species